CAGCCCUAAACGAUGCGCGUUAGGUGUAUCGGUGACCACGAGUCACCGAGGUGCCGAAGGGAAACCGUGAAACGUGCCGCCUGGGAAGUACGGUCGCAAGGCUGAAACUUAAAGGAAUUGGCGGGGGAGCACCACAACGGGUGGAGCCUACGGUUUAAUUGGACUCAACGCCGGGAAGCUUACCGGAUAAGACAGCGGAAUGAUUGCCGGGCUGAAGACCCUGCAUGACCAGCUGAGAGGAGGUGCAUGGCGUAGUCGUGU
rnacentral:rRNA from 1 species